AUUGUUUCCAGGCCUAUUCAAGUCUGCACUACGUCAGAGUAAGUGUUGGAAAGGCUGUCCGUGUGAAUACUGUACUGCUAAGGAGUUGCUGACAUCACUUGCAGAGGUCCUGGGGUCAGCCCUGAUGGAAUGCAGAAUCUGAUAUGGAAUCAAACAAAGAUGGAUAAACCCUACAGCUUUGAUGUCAUCUGGAUUUUUGUGUAGGGUGUGCAGCUAGAUCAUGACCAAAAUACCUCAUUACAUGUACCCACCAGACAUCAGAAGAACUGGAUCAGCCACGUGGUCUAUUUCUUCAGGUUUUCACAAGACAGCCUUGUGGAGGGAGGAAGGAAGAUGGAUACAAGACAGGAAAAUAUGAGGAAAUGGAAAUCUCUUAAGCAGUUCAUAAAGUUGACACCCAGGUUCUGAAUAAGAGUAUGUGAUAUCUUCUGAACACACACACACACACACACACACAC